CAAAUACUCCCUCCGUUCCGAAUUACUCGUCGCAGAAAUGGAUGUAUCUAGAUGUAUUUUAGUUCUAGAUACAUCAAUUUCUGCGACGAGUAAUUUGGAACGGAGGGAGUACUAG
rnacentral:pre_miRNA from 1 species